AGUGAACGCUGGCGGUAGGCCUAACACAUGCAAGUCGAACGGCAGCACAGGAGAGCUUGCUCUCCGGGUGGCGAGUGGCGGACGGGUGAGGAAUACAUCGGAAUCUACUCUGUCGUGGGGGAUAACGUAGGGAAACUUACGCUAAUACCGCAUACGACCUACGGGUGGAAGCAGGGGACCUUCGGGCCUUGCGCGAUUGAAUGAGCCGAUGUCGGAUUAGCUAGUUGGCGGGGUAAAGGCCCACCAAGGCGACGAUCCGUAGCUGGUCUGAGAGGAUGAGCAGCCACACUGGAACUGAGACAAGGUCCAGACUCCUACGGGAGGCAGCAGUGGGGAAUAUUGGACAAUGGGCGCAAGCCUGAUCCAGCCAUACCGCGUGGGUGAAGAAGGCCUUCGGGUUGUAAAGCCCUUUUGUUGGGAAAGAAAUCCAGCUGGCUAAUACCCGGUUGGGAUGACGGUACCCAAAGAAUAAGCACCGGCUAACUUCGUGCCAGCCGCCGCCGUAA
rnacentral:rRNA from 1 species